CCAGCCCAAUGGGACCAGAGCCCCAGAAGACACUGCUGACAGGUGAGUGCAGGGUGGGCUCGGGAUCCCCACAGGGCCUCGGACCCAUCCCCAGGAGCUCCAAACCCUGCGGGAAAGACCUGGUCUCCCACCCCUCAGGGGCAGGACCUGACCCCCUGGCCUAUUUACUGGGUUGCGACAGGUCAUUUCUCCCCCCAGGGCUUUCCACCCCUUUGGGGCAGGACCUGACUCAACUCCCUACCCACGGCCUAUUUACAGAGUUGCAACAGGCCAUCAAGAUUAAUAAAUGGGUCCUGAGCCCAAAGAGGUUGAGAAUCACUGCUUUAAAAGAUGCCAGUUGAUCACCAACACCUUAACUAUGCCCUGGACUUGCCUUUUGGAGUGCUCAUCUCCCAGUGUGUUCAGAGGACAUGGACAUGACUAAAUACCCGUUCUUAAAAUUCUCUAAGCACCUAAACAUGCUCUGCUCUUUAGCUGCUUGCACAAGCUUUUGAAAAUUUGACCAUUAACCUCUCCCUACUUCAGUUUCCCCAUCUUUUGAGAAGCUUAUUUAAUGUAAAGUGCUUAGAGGUUCAGGUUCUUCUAUGAUAAAUGCUAUGUACUAUGCCAAGUAUUAUAUAUAGAUAUACAUUUCUAAAAAUUAUUUGUCUUAAUAUUUUGCCUACUUUAGGCUUGAUAAAAUGUAAACAUUGAUAGUCCUAGCUACAACCAUUGAUGGCAGAUGCUGCUUUACAGGCUUAUUUGUUAAUUCAGUUUUGGAGAAGUUUCCCUCUUUUUCUGGAAGGCUUGUUUAUAGAUAUACUUUUAUUCCUGCAUUUCAGCACAUUGACAGUAAUAGGCAGUACUUCAUUUGCAGCUAUUGCAUUUCUUCCAGAAAUUCCUCUUCCUCUUAUCCAGUUUACCAUGUAAAAUUCUAUACCUUAAUUUUGAGAAGAUAUGUUUGCUAAGUAUCAAUCCACAAUGGUAUUUCCAUCUCUAUUAUGCAAAGAAAAAGUCUCAAACCUGUUUGAAUACUUGUUCCAUUUAUUUCUCAGUAAGUAGCUGCUGUGGAAUGCUAUGAGGCUCUGCAGAUGUUCUUGAUAAAGGUCUACUUGGGGAGAUCCCCAUCUUUGGAAGAUGAACCUGGUGACCUCUGGGUGAAGGGAUCACUCGUGGCCCAGUGUUUGGAAGGUGGCUUGGACCAGGCUGAUGCUAUUCUUUACUUGGGCCUCUGGGCGACCCUUGAUCAGUCAUCGAGGUACAGGGAGACUUGAACACCUUGCCUUCUGGUUCCCUUCAUCUGAACGCAUGGAAGCUCCAUGGCUGAACCCGGAAAAGCAAGCCUGUUCGGAACACGUUGGACGGGUCUUGCUGGGUAGUAGGAGGCCAUCCACUAUGGUUACCUACCUCGCCAAGUGGAAGCGUUUCUCAAUAUGGUUGUCCUAAUGAGGCCUUUCUCCAACUCAGUCUUCCCUUCAGUCUACUCUGGACUGUUUGCUCCACCUAAAACAAGUCUGGCCUCACAUCUAUCAAGGUGCACCUGGCAACACUUUCGGCCUUCCAUCCACCAGUGGGUGGUUGGUCAUUUUUCUCUCACGAGAUUACAUUCUGCUUUCUUAAGGGGUUAGAGAGACUUUACCAUCAGGUGUGUGAACUGAUUCCCUCGUGAGAUUUGAACUUGGUCCUAUUGAAACUCAUGGGCCCUCCCUUUGAGCCAGUAGCAUUGUGUCCUCUUCUGUUUCUCUCCUGAAAGGUUGCCUUCCUGAUAGCAAUUACCUCAGCCAGAAGGGACUCUGAAAUCAGGGCCCUUACGUCAGAACCACUGUAUACAGUAUUUGUCAAGGACAAGGUUCAGCUGAGCCCUCAUCCGGCCUUUCUGCCAAAGGUGGUCUUGCAGUUCCAUACCAACCAUGUCAUUUUCCUGCCAGUCUUCUUCCCGAAGCUGCACAAAAAUUCAGAAGAGCAGCAGCUUCGCUCGUUGGAUGUUAUACAUGUCCUCUCUUCUGUAUCAAGAUGACUUUGUGGCAAUAGCAGAGAGGAUGAAAGGCCUACCAGUUUCAGCCCAGAUAAUCUCAUUCUGAAUAACCUCCUGUAUUUGGGCAUGCUACGAGGAGGCGAAUGUUCCACUGCCUGCCAUCUUGACUGCUCAUUACAUGAGAGCUCGGGGCUCUUCAGCAGCAUUUCUGGCCCGGGUUCCAAUCCAAGACAUCUGCAGGGCCACAACCAUCAGUGCAUACCUUCUCAUCCCACUACGCCAUCACCCAACAAGCUCAUGAUGAUGCCACAUUUGGGAGAGCAGUGUUGCAAUAUGCCUGUCCAUGAACUCUGAGCCCACAUCCUUUGGAUACUGUUUGUGAGUCACCUAACAUGGAAUGGGCAAGCACUCGCAGAAGAAAAAACUCAUUGACCUUCCUUAACUGUUAUUCUUUGAGGUGUGUUGCUCAUGUCCAUUCCACAACCCGCCCUCCUACCCAGGAGCGGCACCA